rnacentral:rRNA from 1 species
CCCAGACUCCUACGGGAGGCAGCAGUGGGGAAUAUUGCACAAUGGGGGGAACCCUGAUGCAGCGACGCCGCGUGGGUGAAGGAGUACUUCGGUACGUAAAGCCCUAUCAGCAGGAAAGAAAAUGACGGUACCUGACUAAGAAGCCCCGGCUAACUACGUGCCAGCAGCCGCGGUAAUACGUAGGGGGCAAGCGUUAUCCGGAUUUACUGGGUGUAAAGGGAGCGUAGACGGCAGUGCAAGUCCGGAGUGAAAGCCCGGGGCUCAACCCUGGGACUGCUCUGGAAACUGUAAAGCUGGAGUGCGGGAGGGGCAGGCGGAAUUCCUGGUGUAGCGGUGAAAUGCGUAGAUAUCAGGAGGAACACCGGCGGCGAAGGCGGCCUGCUGGACCGUAACUGACGUUGAGGCUCGAAAGCGUGGGGAGCAAACAGGAUUAGAUACCCCCGUAGG